CCUAAGUCGGAUUAGCUAGAUGGUGGGUAAAGGCCUACCAUGGCGACGAUUUGUAGUUGUCUGAGAGGAUGAUCAGCCACACCGGGACUGAGACACGGCCCGGACUCCUACGGGAGGCAGCAGUGGGGAAUAUUGGACAAUGGGGGCAACCCUGAUCCAGCCAUGCCGCGUGAGUGAAGAAGGCCUUUUGGUUGUAAAGCACUUUAAGCAGUGAAGAAGACUCCAUGGUUAAUACCCAUGGACGAUGACAUUAGCUGCAGAAUAAGCACCGGCUAACUCUGUGCCAGCAGCCGCGGUAAUACAGAGGGUGCAAGCGUUAAUCGGAAUUACUGGGCGUAAAGCGAGCGUAGGUGGCUUGAUAAGUCAGAUGUGAAAUCCCCGGGCUUAACCUGGGAACUGCAUCUGAUACUGUUAGGCUAGAAUAGGUGAGAGGAAGGUAGAAUUCCAGGUGUAGCGGUGAAAUGCGUAGAGAUCUGGAGGAAUACCGAUGGCGAAGGCAGCCUUCUGGCAUCAUAUUGACACUGAGGUUCGAAAGCGUGGGUAGCAAACAGGAUUAGAUACCCUGGUAGUCCACGCCGUAAACGAUGUCUACUAGUCGUUGGGUCCCUUGAGGACUUAGUGACGCAGCUAACGCAAUAAGUAGACCGCCUGGGGAGUACGGCCGCAAGGUUAAAACUCAAAUGAAUUGACGGGGGCCCGCACAAGCGGUGGAGCAUGUGGUUUAAUUCGAUGCAACGCGAAGAACCUUACCUGGUCUUGACAUAUCUAGAAUCCUGCAGAGAUGCGGGAGUGCCUUCGGGAAUUAGAAUACAGGUGCUGCAUGGCUGUCGUCAGCUCGUGUCGUGAGAUGUUGGGUUAAGUCCCGCAACGAGCGCAACCCUUGUCCUUAGUUACCAGCGGGUUAAGCCGGGAACUCUAAGGAUACUGCCAGUGACAAACUGGAGGAAGGCGGGGACGACGUCAAGUCAUCAUGGCCCUUACGACCAGGGCUACACACGUGCUACAAUGGUAGGUACAGAGGGCAGCUACACAGCGAUGUGAUGCGAAUCUCAAAAAGCCUAUCGUAGUCCAGAUUGGAGUCUGCAACUCGACUCCAUGAAGUAGGAAUCGCUAGUAAUCGCGGAUCAGAAUGCCGCGGUGAAUACGUUCCCGGGCCUUGUACACACCGCCCGUCACACCAUGGGAGUUGAUUGCACCAGAAGUGGAUAGCCUAACCUUCGGGAAGGC
rnacentral:rRNA from 1 species